rnacentral:rRNA from 1 species
AUUGAACGCUGGCGGCAGGCCUAACACAUGCAAGUCGAGCGGAUGAAGGGAGCUUGCUCCUGGAUUCAGCGGCGGACGGGUGAGUAAUGCCUAGGAAUCUGCCUGGCAGUGGGGGAUAACGUCCGGAAACGGGCGCUAAUACCGCAUACGUCCUGAGGGAGAAAGUGGGGGAUCUUCGGACCUCACGCUAUCAGAUGAGCCUAGGUCGGAUUAGCUAGUUGGUGGGGUAAAGGCCUACCAAGGCGACGAUCCGUAACUGGUCUGAGAGGAUGAUCAGUCACACUGGAACUGAGACACGGUCCAGACUCCUACGGGAGGCAGCAGUGGGGAAUAUUGGACAAUGGGCGAAAGCCUGAUCCAGCCAUGCCGCGUGUGUGAAGAAGGUCUUCGGAUUGUAAGGCACUUUAAGUUGGGAGGAAGGGCAGUAAGUUAAUACCUUGCUGUUUUGACGUUACCAACAGAAUAAGCACCGGCUAACUUCGUG